GUGUCAGCCGCCGCGGUAAUACGGAGGGGGUUAGCGUUGUUCGGAAUUACUGGGCGUAAAGCGCGCGUAGGCGGAUUGGAAAGUUGGGGGUGAAAUCCCGGGGCUCAACCCCGGAACUGCCUCCAAAACUUCCAGUCUGGAGUUCGAGAGAGGUGAGUGGAAUUCCGAGUGUAGAGGUGAAAUUCGUAGAUAUUCGGAGGAACACCAGUGGCGAAGGCGGCUCACUGGCUCGAUACUGACGCUGAGGUGCGAAAGUGUGGGGAGCAAACAGGAUUAGAUACCCUGGUAGUCCACACCGUAAACGAUGAAUGCCAGUCGUCGGCAAGCAUGCUUGUCGGUGACACACCUAACGGAUUAAGCAUUCCGCCUGGGGAGUACGGCCGCAAGGUUAAAACUUAAAGGAAUUGACGGGG
rnacentral:rRNA from 1 species